GGCGAAGCUGAGAACUUAAGCGCCAGUAAACGGCGGUGGUAACUAUAACCAUCCUAAGGUAGCGAAAUUCCUUGUCGGGUAAGUUCCGACCUGCACGAAUGGCGUAACGACUUCUCGACUGUCUCAACCAUAGGCCCGGUGAAAUUGCACUACGAGUAAAGAUGCUCGUUUCGCGCAGCAGGACGGAAAGACCCCGGGACCUUUACUACAGUUUGAUAUUGGUGUUCGGUUCGGCUUGUGUAGGAUAGCUGGGAGACUGUGAAGCCUGGACGCCAGUUCGGGUGGAGUCGUCGUUGAAAUACCAGUCUGGUCGUGCUGGAUGUCUAACCUGGGUCCGUGAUCCGGAUCAGGGACAGUGUCUGAUGGGUAGUUUAACUGGGGCGGUUGCCUCCUAAAGGGUAACGGAGGCGCCCAAAGGUUCCCUCAGCCUGGUUGGCAAUCAGGUGUUGAGUGUAAGUGCACAAGGGAGCUUGACUGUGAGACCGACGGGUCGAGCAGGGACGAAAGUCGGGACUAGUGAUCCGGCGGUGGCUUGUGGAAGCGCCGUCGCUCAACGGAUAAAAGGUACCCCGGGGAUAACAGGCUGAUCUUCCCCAAGAGUCCAUAUCGACGGGAUGGUUUGGCACCUCGAUGUCGGCUCGUCGCAUCCUGGGGCUGGAGUCGGUCCCAAGGGUUGGGCUGUUCGCCCAUUAAAGCGGUACGCGAGCUGGGUUUAGAACGUCGUGAGACAGUUCGGUCCCUAUCCGCUGUGCGCGUAGGAGUCUUGAGAAGGGCUGUCCCUAGUACGAGAGGACCGGGACGGACGAACCUCUGGUGUGCCAGUUGUUCUGCCAAGGGCAUGGCUGGUUGGCUACGUUCGGGAGGGAUAACCGCUGAAAGCAUCUAAGCGGGAAGCCUGCUUCGAGAUGAGGACUCCCACCCACUUGAUGGGGUAAGGCUCCCAGUAGACGACUGGGUUGAUAGGCCGGAUAUGGAAGCCAGGUGACUGGUGGAGUUGACCGGUACUAAUAGGCCGAGGGCUUGUCCUC
rnacentral:rRNA from 1 species